rnacentral:rRNA from 1 species
GAUGAACGCUGGCGGCGUGCCUAAUACAUGCAAGUCGAGCGAACGGACGAGAAGCUUGCUUCUCUGACGUUAGCGGCGGACGGGUGAGUAACACGUGGAUAACCUACCUAUAAGACUGGGAUAACUUCGGGAAACCGGAGCUAAUACCGGAUAAUAUUUUGAACCGCAUGGUUCAAAAGUGAAAGACGGUCUUGCUGUCACUUAUAGAUGGAUCCGCGCUGCAUUAGCUAGUUGGUAAGGUAACGGCUUACCAAGGCAACGAUGCGUAGCCGACCUGAGAGGGUGAUCGGCCACACUGGAACUGAGACACGGUCCAGACUCCUACGGGAGGCAGCAGUAGGGAAUCUUCCGCAAUGGGCGAAAGCCUGACGGAGCAACGCCGCGUGAGUGAUGAAGGUCUUCGGAUCGUAAAACUCUGUUAUUAGGGAAGAACAUAUGUGUAAGUAACUAUGCACGUCUUGACGGUACCUAAUCAGAAAGCCACGGCUAACUACGUG